CCCUUAGAUGUUCUGGGCCGCACGCGCGCUACACUGAUCGGUGCAACAAGCAUCCGUCCUUGGCCGACAGGCCCGGGCAAUCUUUGAACGCCGGUCGUAAUGGGGAUAGACCUUUGCAAUUUUUGGUCUUCAACGAGGAAUUCCUAGUAAACGCAAGUCAUCAACUUGCAUUGAUUACGUCCCUGCCCUUUGUACACACCGCCCGUCGCACCUACCGAUUGAAUGGUCCGGUGAAACCUCCGGAUUGGCGCGUGCCCUCGGGCGCCGCCGAGAAGUUGGUUAAACCUUACCAUUUAGAGGAAGGUGAAGUCGUAAC
rnacentral:rRNA from 1 species